GACGAACGCUGGCGGCGUGCCUAACACAUGCAAGUCGAGCGAAUGAAGUUCUUUCGGGAAUGGAUUUAGCGGCGGACGGGUGAGUAACACGUGGGCAACCUGCCUCAUAGAGGGGAAUAGCCUUCCGAAAGGGAGAUUAAUACCGCAUAAGAUUGUAGUACCGCAUGGUACAGAAAUUAAAGGAGCAAUCCGCUAUGAGAUGGGCCCGCGGCGCAUUAGCUAGUUGGUGAGGUAACGGCUCACCAAGGCGACGAUGCGUAGCCGACCUGAGAGGGUGAUCGGCCACAUUGGGACGUAGACACGGCCCAGACUCCUACGGGAGGCAGCAGUGGGGAAUAUUGCACAAUGGGGGAAACCCUGAUGCAGCAACGCCGCGUGAGUGAUGACGGCCUUCGGGUUGUAAAGCUCUGUCUUCAGGGACGAUAAUGACGGUACCUGAGGAGGAAGCCACGGCUAACUACGUGCCAGCCGCCGCAGUAAAAC
rnacentral:rRNA from 1 species